CUUGAUGUUUUUCCAAACAUUUUUGCUGAUGUUGAGUGUUUUCCAUUUCUCUGAGCUGUGUUGUCAGUCCAUCUCCUGAUGAAGCAAGGGCAGUUUGAAUGCUGAAUGGAGGUGGAUGAGGAAGGGGAACACUACGUGAAAAUAUUUGUUUUACACAGAUGAAAUGUUGGAUCAGAACGCACGGAACUACAUCCAGGGAGGCCGCGAGGAACACAAGGGGAGCAGAUAAUGACAUGGUCCACAACACACUUAAGGAGUUGGCAGAGUUUGGGAUCAGGGGAUUCUGCGCGUGUGUGGAUAAUCAGCAUUCAGGA
rnacentral:lncRNA from 10 species